rnacentral:rRNA from 1 species
AAACUCCUACGGGAGGCAGCAGUAGGGAAUUUUCGUCAAUGGGGGGAACCCUGAACGAGCAAUGCCGCGUGAGUGAGGAAGGUCUUCGGAUCGUAAAGCUCUGUUGUAAGAGAAAAACGACAUUCAUAGGGAAUGAUGAGUGAGUGAUGGUAUCUUACCAGAAAGUCACGGCUAACUACGUGCCAGCAGCCGCGGUAAUACGUAGGUGGCGAGCGUUAUCCGGAAUCAUUGGGCGUAAAGAGGGAGCAGGCGGCCGCAAGGGUCUGUGGUGAAAGACCGAAGCUAAACUUCGGUAAGCCAUGGAAACCGGGCGGCUAGAGUGCGGAAGAGGAUCGUGGAAUUCCAUGUGUAGCGGUGAAAUGCGUAGAUAUAUGGAGGAACACCAGUGGCGAAGGCGACGGUCUGGGCCGCAACUGACGCUCAUUCCCGAAAGCGUGGGGAGCAAAUAGGAUUAGAUACCCUAGUAGUCCACGCCGUAAACGAUGGUCACUAAGUGUCGGGGGUCAAACCCCGGUGCUGCAGUCAACGCAAUAAGUGACCCGCCUGAGUAGUACGUUCGCAAGAAUGAAACUCAAAGGAAUUGACGGGGGCCCGCACAAGCGGUGGAGCAUGUGGUUUAAUUCGAAGCAACGCGAAGAACCUUACCAAGUCUUGACAUCCCGUUGACCUGUUAUGUAAUGUAACAUCUCUUCGGAGCAACGGAGACAGGUGGUGCAUGGUUGUCGUCAGCUCGUGUCGUGAGAUGUUGGGUUAAG